rnacentral:rRNA from 1 species
AUUGAACGCUGGCGGCAGGCCUAACACAUGCAAGUCGAACGGUAACAGAGAAAGGCUUGCUUCUUUGCUGACGAGUGUCGGGCGGGUGAGUAGUAUCCGGGGAACUGCACGUUGGAGGGGGGUAUAUAGUGGGGAAGGUAGCUAUAAUCCCACAUCCUACCAACGGCUAAAAGCAGGAGCUUAUCGGACCUUGCGCGCGGGAAUGCGCCGAUGGCGGAUUAGCUAGUAGGCGGGGUAAGGGCCCACCGAGGCGACGAUCCGUAGCUGGUCUGAGAGGAUGACCAGCCACACUGGAACUGAGACACGGUCCAGACUCCUACGGGAGGCAGCAGUGGGGAAUAUUGGACAAUGGGCGCAAGCCUGAUGCAGCCAUGCCGCGUGGAUGAAGAAGGCCUUCGGGUUGUAAAGUCCUUUUGGCGGGGAGGAAGGGAGUAAGGUUAAUACCCUUCCGCACUGACGGUACCCGAAGAAGAAGCACCGGCUAACUUCGUG